rnacentral:tRNA from 1 species
UAAGAGAUAGUUUAACACGCAAAACAAAGAAAUUUGACUUCUUUACUAUAAGUUCAACCCUUAUUCCCUUAA